CCUACGGGCGGCAGCAGUGGGGAAUAUUGCGCAAUGGGCGAAAGCCUGACGCAGCGACGCCGCGUGAGGGAUGAAGGUCUUCGGAUCGUAAACCUCUGUCAGCAGGGAAGAACGGUCACUGUGCUAAUCAGCAGUGAAUUGACGGUACCUGCAAAGGAAGCACCGGCUAACUCCGUGCCAGCAGCCGCGGGAAUACGGAGGGUGCGAGCGGUAAUCGGGAUUACGGGGCGUAAAGCGCACGUAGGCGGUAUGUCAAGUCAAGGGUGAAAUCCCCGCGAUGAACGUGGGAACUGCCUUUGAAACUUGCAAACUGGAGUGUGUGAGAGGAUAGUGGAAUUCCAGGUGUAGGAGUGAAAUCCGUAGAUAUCUGGAGGAACAUCAGUGGCGAAGGCGACUAUCUGGCACAUAACUGACGCUGAGGAGCGAAAGCGUGGGUAGCAAACAGGAUUAGAUACCCGUGUAGUC
rnacentral:rRNA from 1 species